AGGCAAGAGAAUGGUCAUGGACAGGCAAAAUGGUCAAAACCAGACCAGAGUCCAGGAGGUACAGAGUAGCAGACAGGCAAAAAGGUCAAAACCAGAUCAGAGUCCAGGAGGUACAGAGUAGCAGACAGGCAAAAAGGUCAAAACCAGAUCAGAGUCCAGGAGGUACAGAGUAGCAGACAGGCAAAAAGGUCAAAACCAGAUCAGAGUCCAGGAGGUACAGAGUAGCAGACAGGCAAAAAGGUCAAAACCAGAUCAGAGUCCAGGAGGUACAGAGUAGCAGACAGGCAAAAAGGUCAAAACCAGAUCAGAGUCCAGGAGGUACAGAGUAGCAGACAGGCAAAAAGGUCAAAACCAGAUCAGAGUCCAGGAGGUACAGAGUAGCAGACAGGCAAAAAGGUCAAAACCAGAUCAGAGUCCAGGAGGUACAGAGUAGCAGACAGGCAAAAAGGUCAAAACCAGAUCAGAGUCCAGGAGGUACAGAGUAGCAGACAGGCAAAAAGGUCAAAACCAGAUCAGAGUCCAGGAGGUACAGAGUAGCAGACAGGCAAAAAGGUCAAAACCAGAUCAGAGUCCAGGAGGUACAGAGUAGCAGACAGGCAAAAAGGUCAAAACCAGAUCAGAGUCCAGGAGGUACAGAGUAGCAGACAGGCAAAAAGGUCAAAACCAGAUCAGAGUCCAGGAGGUACAGAGUAGCAGACAGGCAAAAAGGUCAAAACCAGAUCAGAGUCCAGGAGGUACAGAGUGGCAGAAUGGUCAAAGCAGGCAGAAUGGUCAGGCAGGCAGGUACAGAGUCCAGAAACAGGCAAGGGUCAAAACUGGGAGGACUAGAAAAAGGAGAAUAGCAAAAAGGAGUAAAGGAAAAACACGCUGGUUGACUUGGGAAAACAUACAAGACGAACUGGCACAAAGAGACAGGAAACACAGGGAUAAAUACACUGGGGAAAGUAAGCGACACCUGGAGGGGGUGGAGACAAUCACAGGAACAGGCGAAACAGAUCAGGGCGUGACAGAUAUAAACUGGCAAAAGAAGAAACAUGGGAAUGUCGAACAGACAAGCGCUAACCCUCUAGCUGAGGGACUGUAUCUGGUCUACUGUGCGCAUUUCUAUGCUGUGGUAGUGACUGGGGUUAGAUAGGGCCUCAAAGAUUGAGUGAAGGUCAGAACAGUGCAGUAAUCACAUGGAACCAUAACAGGAAGCUCCACUCACAUACAGCAUGAACAACCUCGCAGCACCUUAUAUGGCUGUCUGUCUCAUGCAGUAAUUUACUGUUGUAUAUAAAAUGGCUCCAGCCCAAAGACUGAGGCUGAGUUGUUGAUGCUCUCCGUGUGACCCAGCCGACUCUCUAUGCUCUUCCUGACAGGAAACGGAGAGAGAGUGGUC